UGCCUCGUGGCCUAAUGGUAUGGCGGCUGCCUCUGGAGCAGUAGAUUCCAGGUUCGAGUCCUGGCGAGGCAG
rnacentral:tRNA from 1 species